AAGCCGGAUUGCAGAGCCCUCUCUGUUAAGUCCCAAAGGAAAAUGAUAUAGUCUGAGAGUAUGAGCUGAUGGUAGGACACUGUCUUCUUUCUGACACUAUCUUCAUGGAACAUUUUGGUCAUACAGAGAUAAGAGAGAGUCCCAGAAUGACGUCCAAAGGAAUUUCAGGACCGUAAAGCCUGGAACCAUCAGAAAACAUUAGCCAUCUGGAUCACUGAACAAGAGUACUCCUUUGAAAUGUGAAGGAUUCUUAUAUGGAUGUCCACCCCACCCAGAAGGCCAUCAUUGUUGCUGGUAGGAUGUAAUCUACAAUUUGUUGCCUUUACCACCAUGUUAUGCAUUGAUUCCUACAUCAAGAGACACGUGGGGUAUGUGUCAUUUUCCUCCUCUUUACAAACGAGAAAAAUGAGGCUCAGAUUAAAUUACUUGCCCACAUUCAUGCAGCUAGUAAUGGAGAGAUGUGGAAUACAAAGCCAUAUUAUUUCUUAAUUCAAAUGCUGUGUUCUCAGCCACGACGCUAUCAUGGCUCCAAGUAGACAUUUGCUGAUUGAAUGGAGUUGAAUCGCACUACAGGAGCGACUGUGGCUAAGAGCCAAAUGUCUAGUACAGACAGAAAUGUGCAGGAGUAGAGAGAAGGGUGGAUUGCCGGGAGAAAGCGUGGUGCUGUCACACGGGACCGUUGGUGGCCUCGCCAUUGGGUCAAGCAAGCAGUUGGUGCUGGGGAGUAUGGGGAGGGCACACGGGCCUUCCCAGGCAGCUCGAGAAGGAUGAGACCGUAUAGGAAAACUGACUUAAGAUGAACCCUGCCAAAAAGGGCUACUCCGUCACCAGCCUCGUCUGAGGUCAUAUUUCAAAGACUGGCUCGGGGCCACUGGCUGGGGUGCAGGGCUGUGAGAUCAUGGCUGAGCAAUCUGACUUUUAAAAAAUAUAAGGACCAACUUGGGAGUUUUAUCGCUGUUCUGCCGCCCAGGCAUGAAGUCAGCUGGCCUGCUCGUGACAGGGAGCGUUUCACUUGUAAUUAGCUGGGUGGUUUUUUUUUUCUUUUUUUUAAGUUCUGCCUAAACAGUGGUGGGGUGUGAGUGAGCCCGUUCCCUUGGAGCUGCCCCACAGCAGUAGCGGAGAUUUGACUCCAUGAAAGUACAUUAUCGCAAUGUUGGCUUUGUGUGUAAGCAUUGUAUGUGUAUGUAAAAAUGUGGAAACUUCCUCAAUAAAGAGAUGUCCUUUUUGUACAUUUGCACUUGUGACAGACAAAGGAAUGAGGAAAAUGGAGUCCAAUCCUCAUCUAUAUGACUGGAGCAAGGACUUGAAAUGAGAACCCACAAGGGCUUAUUGACUUCCCACCCUGAGACUGGAUCUUGGAGCAACCAACCUGCGGGCAAACUGGAAUCUACAAAGCCACACGCUUCUCCAGGAAGCCUGGUUCUAAUUCUCAAAGUUGCGUGAAUUGACUAGAAGCUCCGGAAGAGGAUUCUCCCCAGGAAAGAGGUAGAAGGAAUCAAAGUAGGUGGAGAAACAAAAACCCAUUCCUUGAAUUCUUAGAAUGACAGUUAUUUCAGAAGAGCACAUUGAGACAUCAAGGCUGGAAAACUCAAAUGAAAACCCCAGCCAGCCUUCCCAACAAGCCCAUGAGGUAUUGCACUGAAUAUUUUUCAUUUUGCAGAUGAGGAAACAGGGUGAAAGAAGUUAAAUAAUUUACCCAGAAACAUCCAGCUAAUAUCUUUAAGGCCUGAGAUUCAACCCAGGUAUAUCACCUUGGAUUCUUAGUUACAAACCACAGAACCCAAUAUUGGUUAGUAGAAACAAAUAAGUGAUUUUUAUAAAAGAUUGAGUGACCCUGGUGAACCAAACAUGAAAUGCUCUCCAAGUCACAGGCUGAAUCACUGAAUUAGUUCAGCACCUUAUACUCCUAAUGUAACCACUAGGUCACUCAUGCUAAAACAUCUCCUAUGCCUGCCUCUGAGAAAUAGAUGUAGCUGUUACCACUCUUGUUUAAACAAAUUUUUGAGCAUAUGGCUUCCUCAGAGGGAAUAAAUUAGUCCAUCGAAAUGGACUGUUUCCUUAGAGUGGGAAAGUGUUCCGAAAUGCUGGGGUGUAAAGACUUUGUUUAUUGUUAGCUGAAUUCCUAAUGCCUACGAAGUGCUUAGCAUGUAAUAGAUGUGUCAUAAGAGCAUAUCAACUUAUUGAUCAAAUAAUUCUAUCCGAUUUUAAAGCUCAUGUCCCUAGACACUAUACCUCUUCACUAUACAUCUUCAUAGAUGGUCCAUGAUGAGAUCUAACACAGAAUAUGUGAUUGCACACCAAUGAAAUUAUAUAAAGUCUCUAUCCUAUAUAAAACUAUCGUCAAUCGUUCACCGAAAUGUGCUGUUGUGAUUUACGACUACGAGCUCUGAGAGACAAGGACAUAUCUAUCUUGUACCAUUAUAUCAUUCAUUUUUAAUACAAGGCUAAAAAUAAUUAUUAAAUAAAUGAGUAGAGUGAUAAAUGAAUGAGUUUAAGAGGCAAGGUAGUCAAGAUUUGGGAAUGCAUGCUAAGGUGGUGCCAAGGAUGGCAUCUCAGUGUUUAGCCUGAACACCUGGUGGGAGGGGGGCUGACAUUUACUGAGCACGGGAAGACAAACAGGCUCUGGGAGGGAGAUCAUGAGUUAGUUUUGGACUUGCUGAACUUUUAUGUCUGGGAGACAUGAAAGUGCAGUGUUGAGUGGCUUGCUGGAUAGAUGGGUCUGGAACUGAGGAGCAAUGUCUGGAAUGGAGGUAUAAAUUUGCGAGUUGUCAGUGUUGAGCUAGUAACUAAGUUGCAGUCAUAGACAUGUAAACAUAUGAUAUAUACAAUACAUGAAACUACAUAUGAAUCUAAAAAUAUUUAAAUAUAAAAUUAAAUACAUGCAUAAACCAUGUAAAUAGUAGAAUUGUUAUUCAUAAUAUUCAGGAACGAAGAAUACAUAACAUUAGACUGAAAAGUUGAUUACUGAUUUACGUGGAAUGGAUACCCAAAUGGUAGAGAUUAUACACUGGAGGUUGGGAUCGUUUAAUCUCCCAGCAGUCUGCCUUCCAGGACAACAUAAACACAGAAUCAGUAGUGUGUCUGUGUAUCAGAGCUCCUCCUGCUGUGUUACUGGACAGGGAAUGUUAGGUAUUUCAGACGAUGUUCGCUGUGUCUUAGGCAUUUCUUUUGUCUGGGAACAUUCUGGGGAAGGAGCACAAAGACAGGGCAAUGGGAAUGUGAAGCUGAGACUCGGAAGGAGGCAGGCAGGAGGUGCACAGGGAAGCCUGCAGAAAAGCUCUGUGGGGACUGAGUCUCAUUGCCAUCCAAGGAGCCGGAGCCUGUGACCAGAGAGAAUCCUUUCUUCUGUCUGUGAAAGGGGAAAGGUGAUCAAGAGGUUAACACUGACUCUUCCCAAGCCUCAUAGCCUGGGAAUGGGCUGAGAACACCUGUGGUCUGAGGUCCUAGCGAUCUUUAAUUACAGACCAUUCAUUCAUCACUGUGAUUGAAAACAAUUGUGGAUUUAGACAGAGCUCAAACCCUUGCCCUGUCACUAAUUUACUGAGCAGCCUUUGAUAAGCAACGUAUUCUCCCCGAACCUCAAUUUACUCACCUUGAUGGAGGGAAAAUAAUAGUAUAAGACACAUCGUGUUUUGGAUAUAGUGAUUAUCUUAAAUUCUUAUGACAAAGUUGAAUCCAGCUCUGCCACCCUGUUACAUGGGUAGUCGCUGGCAGGUUUUGGAUAUGAAGAUGAUAAGCUCUGAUUUGCUAUUGAAAAAGACACCCCUGAUGCCCUAUGGGAGGUCAGAGUGGACACCAGGGGAUCAGAUAAGUGGCUACUGAUCCCCUGAUGUCCACUCCCCUAGUGCAGGCAUGGAAUGACGGUGGAUCAAGAUAGAAGUGAGGUAGAGGAUGGAGAAAUAGGCAUUUCUGGGUUGUUGUAAAGAUUAGUGUUUAUUAGGAACUUAAUAAACAAUAGUUAAUUUAAUAAUUAUCAUUAUAGUUAUGACUUUCAUCCUUAAUAACACUUGUCAAUUGCAGAAAUGCAUUUGGAAAUAUGGCAAAAGCAUGCACAUUUUUGUUAUUUAUGAUGUAUUAAAUAAAUUCUCAUAUAGUGCUUACUUGGCUCUAUACUAAGAACUUGUUAUCAGUCAGAGUUCCCCAGAGAAACAGACCCAAAAGGAGAUAGAUAGAGAUUAGUUAGAUAGAUAGACGAUAGAUGAUAGAUAGAUAGAGAGAGAUAGAGAGAUGAGUUGGCUUACAUGAUUAUGAAGAUUAAGUCCCAAGAUUAGCAGUCAGCAAGGUGGAGACCUGGAAGGACCAAUGGUAUAGUACCAGUCUGAGGCCAAAGACCUGAGAAUCAGAUUCAAUUGAUGG